rnacentral:rRNA from 1 species
UACAGAGGUCUCAAGCGUUGUUCGGAUUCAUUGGGCGUAAAGGGUGCGUAGGCGGCGCGGUAAGUCGGGUGUGAAAGUCUUGGAGCUUAACUCCGAAACUGCAUUCGAUACUGCCGUGCUUGAGGACUGGAGAGGAGACGUGGAAUUUACGGUGUAGCUGGUGGAAAUGCGCAGAUAAUCAGGAAGAACACCCGUGGCUA